GUUGAACGCUGGCGGAGUGCCUAAUACAUGCAAGUCGAGCGGCAGCGCGAGUAGUUUACUACUUGGCGGCGAGCGGCGGACGGCUGAGUAACGCGUGGGAACGUGCCCCAAAGUGAGGAAUAACUGCCCGAAAGGGUAGCUAAUACCGCAUAUGGUCUUCGGAUUAAAGGAUUUAUCCGCUUUGGGAGCGGCCCGCGUCAGAUUAGGUUGUUGGUGAGGUAAAGGCUCACCAGGCCGACGAUCUGUAGCUGGUCUGAGAGGAUGAUCAGCCAGACUGGGACUGAGACACGGCCCAGACUCCUACGGGAGGCAGCAGUAAGGAAUCUUCCACAAUGGACGAAAGUCUGAUGGAGCAACUCCGCGUGCAGGAUGAAGGCCUUCGGGUUGUAAACUGCUUUUAUGAGUGAAGAAUAUGACGGUAACUCGUGAAUAAGGGUCGGCUAACUACGUGCCAGCAGCCGCCGUAA
rnacentral:rRNA from 1 species